AGCAGAGCUCCUCUCCAUGUCAGGUGUGCAGGUAGGGGAGAGGAAAAAGAGGCUGAGUGUGCUCUGAGGAGAAACCUCACUGCAGCCAGAGAGCAAGGCUGUGACAGUAACUACUUCAUCAUGUGCUGGUUGAUUUCCUAAGAGCAUUAAAGUACACGCUAUUUCCUUUGGGAGGACAUUAAAGUCAACCCUGAAACAUCAACAGGACAUCUAAGGAAAAGGAAUGGUAAGUG